rnacentral:rRNA from 1 species
UUCAGCCUACGGGGCGCAGCAGUGGGGAAUAUUGCGCAAUGGACGAAAGUCUGACGCAGCGACGCCGCGUGAGGGAUGAAGGUUUUCGGAUCGUAAACCUCUGUCAGGAGGGAAGAAAGCGCAUGGCGCCAAUCAGCCAUGCGUUGACGGUACCUCCAAAGGAAGAGCCGGCUAACUCCGUGCCAGCAGCCGCGGUAAUACGGAGGGCGCGAGAGUUAAUCGGAAUUACUGGGCGUGAAGCGCGCGCAG